rnacentral:rRNA from 1 species
AGUGAACGCUGGCGGUAGGCCUAACACAUGCAAGUCGAACGGCAGCACAGUAAGAGCUUGCUCUUACGGGUGGCGAGUGGCGGACGGGUGAGGAAUACAUCGGAAUCUACCUUUUCGUGGGGGAUAACGUAGGGAAACUUACGCUAAUACCGCAUACGACCUACGGGUGAAAGCAGGGGAUCUUCGGACCUUGCGCGAUUGAAUGAGCCGAUGUCGGAUUAGCUAGUUGGCGGGGUAAAGGCCCACCAAGGCGACGAUCCGUAGCUGGUCUGAGAGGAUGGUACCGCGCCACGGAAGGUGAGCACCUGCCUAGGGACUGAGGGGAGGCCGAGGUGGGGAAUGUAGGAAAAAGGGGGGAAGCUUGAACAAUCCAUAGCGGGUGGGUGAAGAAGGCCCUCGGGUUGUAAAACCCUUUUGUGGGGAAAAAAAACCAGCGGGUUAAACCCCCCGUGUUUUACGGGUACCCAAAAAAAAACACCGGCUAAAUUCGGG